UAUCUUAUUAUCACCACUGGACUCUUUCCGAAAUGGAGGGAAAAGCUUUUAUUAUAAUGUGCAUUUUUAUUGCAACAGUCCACGCGCAAAGUUCAACAACUCAGUCCACAGUAGAUUCAACAACCGACACCUCUGCAACACCCACAGCUACAAUGACGUCUUCAACAACCACUACAACUCUUGCUGAAUCAUCCACUACUACUGCAGGAGUUACCACGACAGCACCACAAACUACUUUUACAACAGCUGAAUCCUCCACAACAGCUACAACAACAGCAGAUCCUUCAACAACCACUACAACUAUUGCUGAAACAUCCACUACUACUGCAGGAGUUACCACAACAGCACGACAAACUACUGUUACAACAGCUGAAUCCUCCACAACAGCUACAACAACAGCAGUUCCUUCAACAACCACUACAACUCUUGCUGAAUCAACCACUACUACUGCAGGAGUUACCACGAUACCACCACAAUCUACAGUAACAACAACUGAAUCCUCCACAACAUCAGUUCCCUCAACAAGCACUACAACUCUUACUGAAGCAUCCACUACUACUGCAGGAGUUACCACGACAGCACCACAAACUACUUUUACAACAGCUGAAUCCUCCACAACAGCUACAACAACAGCAGAUCCUUCAACAACCACUACAACUAUUGCUGAAACAUCCACUACUACUGCAGGAGUUACCACAACAGCACGACAAACUACUGUUACAACAGCUGAAUCCUCCACAACAGCUACAACAACAGCAGUUCCUUCAACAACCACUACAUUUCUUGCUGAAUCAUCCACUACUACUGCAGGAGUUACCACGACAGCACCACAAUCUACUGUUACAACAACUGAAUCCUCCACAACAGCAGUUCCCUCAACAACCACUACAACUCUUGUUGAAGUAUCCACUACUACUGCAGGAGUUAUCAUGACAGAACCACAAACUACUGUUACAACAGCAGAAUCCUCCACAACAGCUACAACAACAGCAGUGCCCUCAACAACCAUUGCAACUCUUGCUGAAACAUCCACUACUACUACAGGAGCUACCAAAACAGCACCACAAGCUACAGUUACAACAGCAGAAUCCUACACAACAGCUACAACAACAGCAGUUCCUUCAACAACCAUUACACCUCUUGCUGAGUCAUCCACACUACUGCAGGAGUUACCACUACAGCACUACAAACUACUGUUACAACACCAGAAUCCUCCACAACAGCAUCAACAACAGCAGCAGUGCCCUCAACAACCAUUGCAACUCUUGCUGAAACAUCCACUACUACUACAGGAGCUACCAAAACAGCACCACAAGCUACAGUUACAACAGCAGAAUCCUCCCCAACAGCAACAACAACAGCAGCAGUGUCCUCAACAACCAUUACAACUGUUGCUGAAUCAUCCACGACUACUACAGGAGUUUCCACAGCAGCACUACAACCUACUGUUACAACAGCUGAAUCCUCCACAACAGCUACAACAACAGCAGUGUCCUCAACAACCACUACAACUUUUGCUGAAUCAUCCACUACUACUGCAGGAGUUACCAAAACAGCACCACAAGCUACUGUUACAACAGCUGAAUCCUCCACAACAGCUACAACAGCAGCAGUGCCCUCAACAACCACUACCACUACAACUUUUGCUGAAUCAUCCACUACUACCGCAGGAGUUACCACAACAGCACCACAAAUUACUGUUACAACAGCAGAAUCCUCCACAACAGCUAGAACAACAGCAGCAACAUCUGAAACACCAGCAACUUCAUCGCCAACAGGUUCAGCCACAGUCUUUACAUCAAUUAUUGGUACAUCCACCAGUGGUACAGCAAUAA
ensembl:lncRNA